rnacentral:rRNA from 1 species
UACGGAGGGUGCAAGCGUUAAUCGGAAUUACUGGGCGUAAAGCGCGCGUAGGUGGUUUGUUAAGUCCGUUGUGAAAGCCCCGAGCUCAACUUGGGAAUUGCAGUGGAUACUGGCAAGCUGGAGUGCGGUAGAGGAAGGUGGAAUUCCCGGUGUAGCGGUGAAAUGCGUAGAGAUCGGGAGGAACACCAGUGGCGAAGGCGGCCUUCUGGACCAGCACUGACACUCAAGCACGAAAGCGUGGGGAGCAAACAGG